rnacentral:rRNA from 1 species
UACGAAGGGGGCUAGCGUUGUUCGGAAUUACUGGGCGUAAAGCGCACGUAGGCGGAUUGUUAAGUUAGGGGUGAAAUCCCAGGGCUCAACCCCGGAACUGCCUUUAAUACUGGCAAUCUCGAGUCCGAGAGAGGUGAGUGGAAUUCCUGGUGUAGCGGUGAAAUGCGCAGAUAUCAGGAAGAACACCCGUGGCGAAAGCGGCUCUCUAGAACGGUACUGACGCUGAGACGCGAAAGCGUGGGGAGCGAACAGG